rnacentral:misc_RNA from 1 species
AGGGAAGGUCGUCGGCAAGAGGCGUGGUCGGAGAAAUUACCAAAAAAAAGGGUGCAUGUACCGGUGCGUUAAGAAUGACAUGGGAAUUCUAGAGGCUCGUGAGCUCACGCGCUUCAUCGGAUAGCUGCAGGACUUCGGGCGUAGGCCAAUCGGCUGGUGUCCUUACUCAAGUGGGUGGUGACCGUCACCUCCCUUCCUAGAAUGACGUAGAAGCUUAACCCAAAAAAAUAUAUAUAUAUCCAGAACUAUACUGUCCACGCAAAUAAAUUUUGGCACUGCUCUGA